GUGGAUUAGAUACCCUGGUAGUCCACGCCGUAAACGAUGCUAACUCGUUUUUGGGUUUUCGGAUUCAGAGACUAAGCGAAAGUGAUAAGUUAGCCACCUGGGGAGUACGUUCGCAAGAAUGAAACUCAAAGGAAUUGACGGGGGCCCGCACAAGCGGUGGAUUAUGUGGUUUAAUUCGAUGAUACGCGAGGAACCUUACCAAGACUUAAAUGGGAAAUGACAGAUUUGGAAACAGAUCCUUCUUUGGACAUUUUUCAAGGUGCUGCACGGCCGUCGUCAGCU
rnacentral:rRNA from 1 species